CUGCACAAUUCAUUGUCCGGCUCUUUACUUUUAAGAGUUGUGAUAUUUCUGUUGUGCUAGAUAAAAAAUGGAGGUAAAUUAGCAGAGUGGCUACCUGGUGCCACCUCUGCCAGUCCCCUUCACACAGAU
rnacentral:snoRNA from 1 species